rnacentral:rRNA from 1 species
GAUGAACGCUAGCGGCAGGCCUAACACAUGCAAGUCGAGGGGUAGAACACUUGGGUGUUUGAGACCGGCGCACGGGUGCGUAACGCGUAUGCAAUCUACCUUGUACAGGGGAAUAGCCCAGAGAAAUUUGGAUUAAUGCCCCAUAGUAUAUAACCUUCGCAUGUUGGUUAUAUUAAAGUUCCAACGGUACAAGAUGAGCAUGCGUCCCAUUAGUUAGUUGGUAAGGUAACGGCUUACCAAGACGAUGAUGGGUAGGGGUCCUGAGAGGGCGAUCCCCCACACUGGUACUGAGACACGGACCAGACUCCUACGGGAGGCAGCAGUGAGGAAUAUUGGUCAAUGGGCGCAAGCCUGAACCAGCCAUGCCGCGUGCAGGAAGACGGUCCUAUGGAUUGUAAACUGCUUUUAUACAGGAAGAAACCCUCCCACGUGUGGGAGAUUGACGGUACUGUAGGAAUAAGGAUCGGCUAACUCCGUGCCAGCAGCCGCGGUAACAC